GAUAGGAAAAAAGAACGCAGCCUUCCAAUCCCGUCUCCAACUCCGGUGCGCCGCCACCCCCUGCCCUGCCGCCGCGCACCGGACUGGCGCGCGUGGACAUGGUGCCUGGUGGGGGAGGGGAGUGUCGCACCGCAAGUAUCGCGCCGGCGGGCUGCGUGCUCCUCGAGCGGCUGGAGGCGGCGUGGCUGCUCGACGCAGAACGAAGGCGGCGGCCGGAGCUUGCAGGGGAUGGAUUCGUGUGCGACAGGGGCUGGGGAGGCGGAUCUGGAGGCGUUCGACGAGGCGGGGUUCGCCUGUGACGAGGAGGAUGGCCGGAGCGCGGCUUCCCGGGAGGAUCCAUAGCAUCCUCGGCUCCAGGACAGAAAGGAGACACGGUGGUGAGGGAGAGAAGAAGGCAGAAAGGAGGGGCGGUGCGGUGACCUAGGCCGGAGCUCACCGGUGUCCGGCAACGGCGGACGGGCGCCACUGCUACUGCAUCCCUGGUAUUCCUCUCACCUCUCCUGCCUUAACGAUAUCUGCUGCGUCGCCAAAGCCUCGGCCGCACAUCACCAGCAUCUCCGGCCUCGAAUACUCCUGCCACUGCACCCAGAGGCCCGUCGCCAUGACCGGAUCCAGUAAGGUGCCUCUAAUGCCCCCCUCUCCCUCAUGGCACAUGUGCUAUUUUACUCGGAAAGGCCAUUGCUCACGUUUUGAAUUUUGGCAUCAGCUCUGUUGUCGUGCUUCAGUUCUUUGCUGGAAGAACCUCAAUUGUUUCUUUGCUUCGGUUGUUCUUCAAUCUUAGCUCUCAGUUCUCAACAUAUGCAUUACAAUAUGUUUGUUGUCUGUGGGGAUGGAGUGAAGAAAUUGGAUUGGGGUCAUGGAAUAAAUCAACUAGAGGAUGCAACUCAUGUUCUUGUAGGUAGUCAUUCAGACAUUUCUUAACUCUGCUGCAAAAUCAGCUGCCACAGCUCUGCGCUGCCGGUCAUGGAAACCUCUCAUGUAUCCCCUCUUGUCGCUUCUCACCAGCAGCGUCUCUAUGCCGUGGCAGCGGCGCUCCCGACCCGACAAUCGAAGCUGCUGCUCCCGAUCUAUUGUGUCUGGGCAGUCCCAGCCACUCCUCCCUAGCAAACUUGUGCUCUUCCUUCGGCUUGCCUUCCAUAGGGUCUGGCACCGCUUCAAUUAUAAUCUGCAGGACAUACACAAGUUGCAGACAAAUCGAUUGAAAUAAUGUGCUAAGCCUUGGGCUCCAUUGCCACUUUGUCAGCUUGUUGAUAUUAGAGGGAGGAUCAAAGGGGUGAUUGGUACUUUCCCUUACAACAGCUGGUGAAACGCAACGAAUUUUCUCAACCAAUGAAGCUUUCUCUGUGGUGUCCAAGUUAUGAACUCCUACAAUUUCAGGUGUACUGCAAUCCAGGAAUGCAGCAGGCCAGAACAAUGGACAAUGAUCGUACUAUGAGUGGCUAGGUAUUGGCCUACCGUGGCAAGAUGCCAAUGACUCUAUGAGGUGUGUAAAAUAUGGAUCUGUAAAUGUCCGAGGUUGCCUUGGGGGCCAAAUGCCGCAAACAGGUCAAGGAUCUUCUUAUAUGACAGAAGCUAAGGUCCAUUGUCACUCAACACAGUCUCCUUGAGAUACAAAUUCCAGCUUUAAAGUGUGGCAAUGACGCAAAUUCUUUGCUGCAAUCAUAGGAGAUCCAGUCAGGCUACAAAAUUUUCCUGUGCCACCCUAUGUACGACGCCAGCGGUGAGAUGGGCGGGAACUCUUUGGCGUGCCAGCACACAGGAACGACACAUGCCGUACACCCCGAAGGACACGUUCGCCAGGCUUGACCUGACCCUCUCUGACACCACCUUGCCGCCUCUGUUGCUGGAGAUCAGCCGAAGAGUUAGCUUGUUGCCGCUUUGCUUCAAUGGUUGCUUCAAUGCUCUUCGACUCUCCAUAAUGAGCAGAUGAUGGUGCUUGGACGAAGCAAUUGAUCGGAAAAUGGGUAGUGUUGUACUGGUGGUCUUGUGUCCGCCCACUAACUGUAAAACAUCUAAGAUGAUUCUUCAGGACUUGAUACAUUCCAAUUACUCAUUUGGGUCUUUUUCUUACUCUUAUACUUGGUUUUGCUUAGUAAUCUUAAGAUCAAUUCUUUCGAUGUAUAACUAUAUGUAGAGCACAGGACCCGACCUUGCAUGUGGCCGGUUUAAUUUGUUUACUGAAGAAAUUAGUUUAAAAAUGUUCACAGUUUUACACA